AAGUCGUAACAAGGUUUCCGUAGGUGAACCUGCGGAAGGAUCAUUAACAAAUCCACGGCCUACCCAGGCCAUCUGUUCCGGCACUGAGCGCUGUGGCGCGACGUGCCGUGUUCAUCGUGCUCUGCACAAGUAUGUAAGUCGGACUGAAACAACAUGGUGGGAACUCAACAAACAACUUUUAACAAUGGAUCUCUAGGCUCUU
rnacentral:misc_RNA from 1 species